CAGUAGCCGCGGUAAUACGAAGGGUGCAAGCGUUACUCGGAAUUACUGGGCGUAAAGCGUGCGUAGGUGGUGGUUUAAGUCCGUUGUGAAAGCCCUGGGCUCAACCUGGGAAUUGCAGUGGAUACUGGGUCACUAGAGUGUGGUAGAGGAUAGUGGAAUUUCCGGUGUAGCAGUGAAAUGCCUAGAGAUCGGAAGGAACAUCUGUGGCGAAGGCGACUAUCUGGGCCAACACUGACACUGAGGCACGAAAGCGUGGGGAGCAAACAGGAUUAGAUACCCCUGUAGUCCCUGUCUCUUAUAC
rnacentral:rRNA from 1 species